rnacentral:rRNA from 1 species
GAUGAACGCUGGCGGCGUGCCUAAUACAUGCAAGUCGAGCGAACAGACGAUGAGCUUGCUCCUCUUACGUUAGCGGCUGACGGGUGAGUAACACGUGGAUAACCUACCUAUUUUUCUUGGAUAACUUCGUGAAACCGGUUCUAAUACCGGAUAAUAUAUUUUACCGCUUGGUUCUUUAGUUAUUUACGCUUUUGCUUUCUCUUUUAGAUGGUUCCGCGCCGCAUUAGCUAGUUGGUAAGGUAACGGCUUACCAAGGCAACGAUGCGUAGCCGACCUGAGAGGGUGAUCGGCCACACGGGAACUGAGACACGGACCAGACUACUAAGGGAGGCAGCAGUAGGGAAGAUUGCGCAAUGGGCGAAAGCCUGACGGAGCAACGCCGCGUGAGUGAAGAAGGACUUCGGAUCGUAAAACUCUGUUAUUAGGGAAGAAAAAAAGUGUAAGAAAAAAUGCACGUAUUGACGGUAACAAAACAGAAAGCAACGGCUAACUACGUG